rnacentral:rRNA from 1 species
GACGAACCGUGCGAACGUUAUUCGGAAUCACUGGGCUUAAAGCGCGUGUAGGCGGGAGGGCACGUCCGACGCUGAAAUCCCCCGGCUCAACCGGGGAACUGGCGGGGAUACGACCUUCCUGGAGGAACGUAGGGGGACCUGGAACUUCCGGUGGAGCGGUGAAAUGCGUUGAGAUCGGAAGGAACGCCCGUGGCGAAAGCGAGGUCCUGGACGUUUACUGACGCUGAGACGCGAAAGCCAGGGGAGCGAACGGG